rnacentral:lncRNA from 1 species
AAGGUGGCAAGAUCAUAGUUCUCGGGGUGUUUAAAGGCAACUCCUUCCGGAAGCCCCUGCACAACCACAGCUGACUGAUCUCGUAACAUCUUCUCAUAUGGAACAGGAACCACUGUUGAUUUGCCUAAAGCUUUCCCUGGGGGUGAGGGACAGGGGUGAGGCAGAAAAAAGUAAACAUCAUUUAAUGUUAAGAUUAAAAAACAAAUCCAUCAUUAGUUUAUCAUGGCUUCACAAAUGGCAUGCAUACUGUUUUGUAAUAUCUGACUUCAAAGCGACUUCAAAAUAUCAAGAGGGCCCUAUUCCCAUGUUAGAACUUCUAAGCUUGAAACAUAUCCACAAGAGCAACAUAAAAAGUAUAUAAAAUAUUUAUAUAAAACCUACACAAAAUGAAAAGAACAAUAGCUCAUUUCUUCCACUAUUGUCUUUCUUUACAAUGGCCUUGUGCUGUUACAACAUGAUCUUUUCAAAUCCAAUUCAGCACCAGAACAUGGAAGCCUGACAAAUCCAACUGUUAUAAAAUAUCCGGCGAUGUUUUGCCAAUAUUCUCAUCAAAAACUUAUUACAUAAAUACGAUCACCAUUCACAACGAAGUGUGUUCUAGCACUUUUGUGUGCGGACAUCAGGCAGUAAGCCCAGAGAUGCUAGAAACCCCAUUCCCCAGAGAUGAAUUUUACCUACGGCCUCACAGUGUAACUGGUAUCCUCUCCCUCUGACUGUUUUUCUUAAGAGCUUUGUUUGCCGUGUGAUUAGGUUAACAAAAAAAGGGGGAUCGGUGAGAUCAGCACAUAAGUCAAAAACAAACAGGUCUCUGGGUGAUUAUGAGGUGUUAAUGUAGGUUCUCUGGUAGGGGGUGCUGAAAAUGCGGGUAGGGGGGGCGGCUAUGCAUGUACUGAGCCAGGGGCUACACAGUAAAUCUACCUUCCUCUUCAUUUUCCUAUAAACCUAAAACUGCUCUUGAAAAGAAGAAAAAGAAAACAAAAAACCCUACCCCACAGCUCUAAUAGGUGCAUUUGCUUAUUUCUGGGUUCUAGUUUGAACCAGAACUAGAAAGUGAGAUCAUUCCUGAUGUUACCCCAAGAGGUCUGGGCAGUUUGUCAAGGUGUGCUGGACGAGUGUUAAACCAGUUACACCAUCUACCCUUUACAUAAUGUCUCUUUUAGAAAAUGCAGGUGUAGAACCUUACCAUAGCAAAAGCAGAAAUAGUCCUCAACUGUUUUCCUGAGCGUUUCAAUCUCUACAGCGUCUACACUCAUCCGAUUUGCUGGGGUUGUAGAUUUCAUCUUAUGCAUCUCUGCAGCCUUUUCCUCUUCUUCAACACCUGUCAAGCAAUUAAUGACAUAAAAGGCUCAUCUCCACUACCUUAAUACCUGGCUUUCAGUAAGAGUAUUUUUUCCUAGGGGUACCUGGGUGGCUCAGUCAGCUGAAUGUUGGACUUUUGGUUUUGGCUCAGGUCAUGAUCCCACGAUUCAGGAGAUUGAGCCCUCGAGCUCCGCACACACAGCACGGAGCGUGCUUGGCAUCCUGGCUCGCUCACACACUCGCUCGCUCGCGCUCUCUCUCUCUCUCUCCUCUCUCCCUCUCUCAAAAAUAAAUAAACUUAAAUUUUUUUUUAAAAGAGUAUUUUUUUCCUAUAUUCUUUGUUUCUCGCUUUAUUUUAUUUUUUUCAAAUUUUUAAAUUCUAGUUAGUUAACAUACAGUGCAAUGUUGGUUUCAGGUAUGUUUUUUCUAUAUUCUAAUAUUUAUGAUUUGUUAUAAAAAGACAGAAAAAAAGGGAUGAGGGGGAAUUUAAAAAUAAUUAAGCUUGGCUAGCUUAGUCAGUGGAGUGUGCGACUCUUGGAUCUUUUGGGCUGGUGAGUUUGAACCCCAUGCUGGGCACAGGGCUUAUUUGACAGAUAAAUAAUUUUUUAAGCUUUAAAAAUAAAAGCAUAAGACAUAAAUGGCUUGAAUAAAAAUAGUAAGAAAUGAUCAUCAUCUCUGAAAUAAGUGUUGCUAUAACUAAAAAUUCUGUAAAGUAAAAAUUAACUACUAGUAGUUUUAAAAAAGACACGUCUUGGGGCGCCUGGAUGGCUCAGUCGGUUAAGCGUCCGACUUCGGCUCAGGUCAUGAUCUCACGGUCCGUGACUUUGAGCCCCGCAUCGGGCUCUGUGCUGACAGCUCGGAGCCUGGAGCCUGUUUCAGAUUCUGUGUCUCCCUCUCUCUCUGCCCCUCCCCUAUUCACGUUCUGUCUCUCUCUGUCUCAAAAAUAAAUAAACAUUAAAAAAAAUUUAAUAAAAGAAAAUUAAAAAGACACGUCUUUAGAGUAAUUUAUCAGCUACAAACUUGAACAUGAGAUUAUCACCACCACAAAAGACAGUCCAGGUUGGAAAAGUCUACCACCUGUGUGUGGCUACCUAACACCUGAAAUGUACCAGUCCAAACUAAGAUGUGCUGUAAGUUUGCAAUACAUACUAGAUUUUGAAAACUUAGUACAAAAAAAGAGUACGCAAAAUAUCCCAGUCAUAAUUUUUAGGUUGAUCACAUGUUGAAUGAUAAUGUUUUAAAUAGACUGGGUUAGGGGCGCCUGGGUGGCGCAGUCGGUUAAGCGUCCGACUUCAGCCAGGUCACGAUCUCGCGGUCCAUGAGUUCGAGCCCCGCGUCAGGCUCUGGGCAGAUGGCUCGGAGCCUGGAGCCUGUUUCCGAUUCUGUGUCUCCCUCUCUCUCUGCCCCUCCCCAAUUCAUGCUCUGUCUCUCUCUGUCCCAAAAAUAAAUAAAAAAAAACGUUGAAAAAAAAAUUUUUAAUAAAUAGACUGGGUUAAACUAUAACCACUAAAUAAAUUUCCCUUGUUUCUCUUUCUUAUGAAUGUCGUAACUAAAAAACUUCAAAUUCUAGGAAUGAUUCGCAUCAUAUUAUUUCUCCUGGAUGGUGCUUUUCCAGCCCCUGGGAAAGACAAGUCUCCCCCAAGAAUUUCUAAAACUGACUCAUAAACCUACUGAUUAGGUUACAGAAGACCACUAUUGAUCCUUAUCUGCAAAAUAGAUUCUACAAACAAAUAUUAUGCACUUAAGAAUUACAUCUGAAGAUUAUUCUCUGGAGCACUGAAUUAUUGGUAACAAAAAGAAAGUAUGAAUACUAAUAGGCAGGGACUACGGUUUGCAACUGAGGACAAGUCCCCCUAAUGCUUAGCUCUAACCACUGGAGAACCACAUAAGCAAGGCAGUGUAGGGAACGGGAAUAUAAACACAGCUGCCAGGGGGAUUAUAGUAUUCAUGGGACAGAUGGCAGCUGAUACACACAUAAUCAAAACAUUAUUACUAUAAACUUAAACACACAAACAUAAUCGAAGCCUUAAAAUUCUCAAAAUGAUCAGAAAUAAUGAAAAAAAAUUUUUAAUGAAUUAUACUGCCAUAAAGCUUAUAAAGAUUAUAGUGGGGGUGGAGGGAGGCAUGCAGUGGAGAGAAGAUAUUUUUUUUAAAAGGACUAAAAAUACAAUUGACAACUGAAAUUAAUAAAUUAAGAAAACUAAUUUUAUUCACCCAUGAUCCACUCAAUUUAUCAUGAAUUGGAUCUAACUAGAUAAUGGAAAUUUAAGUUUGGCACUAAAAGAUACAUACUUAGGAGGGGCACCUGGGUGGCUCAGUCGGUUAGGCAGCCGACUUCAGUUCAGGUCAUGGUCUCCCAGUUGAGUUUGAGCCCCGCAUCAGGCUCUGCGCUGACAGCUCAGAGCCUGGAGCCUGCUUCGGAUUCUGUGUCACCCUCCCUCUCUGCCCCUCCCCUGCUCACAGCCUGUCUCUGUCUCUCAAAAAUGAAUAAACGUUUAAAAAAAAAAAAAAGAUAUAUACGUAUAUUAAAUGCCUAUAAACCGACAUCCCCACCAUUUUGUUCUCUUUCCAUGUUGAAGUAGAAGCUGUAUCAUUGAGUCAACAUAAAACCUGUGGACAGCGUUAGGUUAAACACAGAUACAGAAGGGGCGCCUGGUGGCUCAGUCAGUUAAGUGUACGACUUCAGCUCAGGUCAUGAUUUCACCGCUCGUGAGUUCAAGCCCCGCGUCGGGCUCUGCUGGCAGCUCAGAGCCUGAAGCCUGUUUCCAGUUUUGUGUCUCCCUCUCUCUCUGUCCUUCUCCCACUCACGCUCUGUCUCUUUUCUCUCAAAAAUAAAUAAAUGUUAAAAAAAAUAUAUUAAAAAAAUCAAAAACAGGGGCGCCUGGGUGGCUCAGUCGGUUAAACGUCCGACUUCAGCUCAGGUCAUGAUCUCGCGGUCCGUGAGUUCGAGCCCAGCGUCGGGCUUUGUGCUGAUGGCUCAGAGCCUGGAGCCUGUUUCCGAUUCUGUGUCUCCCUCUCUCUCUGCCCCUCCCCCGUUCAUGCUCUGUCUCUCUCUGUCCCAAAAAUAAAUAAAUGUUGAAAAAAAAAAAUUAAAAAAAAAAAAAUUUAAAAAACAAAAACAAAAACACAACACAGAUACAGAAACUGUGGGUCUGUGAAAGGCCAUAGGUAUUAACAUCUUACAGCACAUUUCUCUACUGUAUUUGUGCCAGUAUCUAGUAAGUUCUCACCAACUGGAUGAACUCCCAACUGGAGGAUCCCAAAACUCACUGAGGACUCUGACCAGUUGGUUCCACUAAGAGAAUCAGAGACCUAACUUUGCAUUGUGCUUACACAAAUUUAAUGCACACUGAAAGACUUGUUUUGAACACACCAAAUAUCUAUCAAGAAAAUAAAUGUUAUUUAAAUAAGAACCUUAAAUCAAUACAAAAUUUCUCUACGUUCUCUCUUUGUGCCACUAAUCCAAAGUAAUGCCGAGAAAGGAACACAGAACAGUACACAUUCACCAUUUUCCUUACACUCUUCAGUAAAAUUUACCCUUAUAGAUUACCAUGCCUGUGAUUCAUUUGGAGCAUGUCUCUGUAGACAUUUUAGAACAUCCUUUUAGUAUAAAUGUCAUUCUGCUUUAGAAAAGAAGACAUUUGUUAUCCAUAAAUACUUAGGUAUAAUAAAAAUAUAAUACUUACAAUAUUUUACAAAAUCUUUCUGAAAAUCCUUUCUGGUGUUGACAAAAGCACGUCCUCUCUCAGUUCCAACGACAAACACAUCUGUUUCAUACACUGCGAUACAGGCCACUUCUGCCUUGGACUUGGCCAAUUCUUUACACUGAAAUACAAAUAAGCAAACCUUAUGUUACAUACAGGUGUUUAAAAGUACUAUUUCUGCUGGAUGAAUAAAACAUCUCACUUCAACUCUUACUACAGAAUCUGGAAUUAGAUGAAGUUCCUAGUUUCUGGCUUAGAUAAUCACAUAAAGAAGAGAGUCACCAUUUUUUACAAGUAGCUCUCUUUCUACAUAGUUUUGAACCCCAAUUUUAAACAGGAGAAAGCAGAAUUUUUAAGAAAACAAGGCAGAAAUCCCUUGCAAUCUGUUACAGGCCAAAUCCCCAUGAAACAGACUCAGAUUUGCACACGGGCUUACUGGUGGGUACUCUCAAUAGCAACACCCAUGAGACGUGAGGGGCACCGAACUCGGCACAGGCACAGGGAGAGCUGAUCACUGGUGCAGCUGCAUCAGGGGAGCUCCAGAGCUGGGAUGCUCCCCCGCAAAGAAAGGGGUAGACCUUGGGCAGGGGAGCCUCGAAUGCUCACAGCAGCUGGGGGAAUUAGUGCCAUCAGUCCUAAAGGGAAGUUGAAGCCACAUCACAACAUCUACCACAUAAUCCCACCUCCAGAAGUAUCUCUGUAUGAAUAUACACAAUGGGAAUCGUGUUGGGCGAGUAUAUUUUCACUAAGUAGGGCUUCUCCUAAGUAUAUUCCUAUGAAAUUAAAAGUUCUUAAAAAUCUUAAAAACUUCUGUAACAUUCCAUUUUAUGGAUGUACAAUAAUUCAUUUAGUACUAAUAUUAUUGGAAAUAUUGGCGAUUCUAAGUAUCGUUCCUUAAAAUAACACUGAAAUAAUCUGGGGACAAAAUAGAAACAAGAGUCAAAAAACUUUCGACUCUGAAAGCAAAUACUUUUAAGGUUCUCAAAACCUACUGCAGACUGCCAAGAAGGUUCUAUCAGUUUACGCUCCCAUCUGAGCUUCUACAAGAGUGAACUCACAAAAAUCUCAAAAAUGAUACAGUGUAACAUUUCAAGAAACAUUUUAAAAGGGUAUCUUAGUAUAAUCAAUAAUCCACUAAUUAGCUAGUAUCAAACUUAAAGAGUAUUGUACCUUAGAUAUUUUUCUAUAAAUUAACAUAUACUCUGCUUAUUCUUCUACUGUGUUAGUAGUCUGUUUCCCUACUGAUGCACAAAAGUACCUCACUUAUUUUAGGCACAGAAAAGCUGUUUAUGAAAUUAAAUAUACAAUUAUAUAUUUUUUCUUCUGGUUUUUAAAACUUGCGCUGAUAUAUUAUUUUUUUUACUCAUCUAGAAUUUCAACUUGGUACAUAAUAAACACUUGAAGUUUUUUGGGUUUUCUUUUGGUUUUUGUUGUUGAUUUGUUUUGUUUGGACCAAAUACUCUAUGUUCUCAGUAUCAUUUGUUGCAAACCACAGCUUUCCUCUAUUUGGUUUUUAUUUACACAAGGACCAUUCUCUAAUUUCUUAAAUAAAAAUGAUUUGCAUAAUACUGCUCUACAACAUUAUCAUGUAUAAUUUUAAAACUACUGAGAUGAUCAGAUAUCUUUUGAAAUAUAAUAAAGUCACAGUGCAGAACUUCUGACCUAGAGAUGAGUCAACAAUUGUUCUGAGCAUGAAGAAUAACGCCAUCCUAUAAUUUCGUUACGUUAUAUUUACAUGAGAUAUACUGUGGCUGCUCACCCAAAAGGAAGUGUUAUUUACUUACUUAGGUAUGGACAGGGUGCUUGCCUACUCCACUAUCCACACUUAGUUGGACAUUCCUGUCACCAAAGGCAGUAUUUAUGAAAUGGCAAAGCAAGAUGCAUGUACAGCCCAAAGAUGAGAUCAAAGAAAUCUAUGAGCCAAAGGAAAGAUGAAACUGACCUAUACACCUAUAAUUAUACUUCAUAAUUUACAACCAGGAAUGUGAGGAGGAAAUAAAGGCUGAGAAUAAUGAAGUGACUUUGCCUAAGAAAAUUAUAAAGACAGUUUAAAGGAAGAGAAUGGGCCCUAUAUGACCAUGUUAUUCUACGUAUAGUAUAGUAUUAAAGAAAAUUAUUUUAAUAAACAGAGUAGAAUUUAAUCUCUAACCUAUCAUUUAACAUUACAGCCACAGGGGCACCUGGGCGGCUCAGUCAGUUAAGCGUCUGACUCAAUUUUGGCUCAGGUCAUGAUCUGAGGGUUCGUGGGUUUGAGCUCUGCAUCGGGCUCUGUGCUGACAGUGUGGAGCCUACUUGGGAUUCUUUCUCUCCUCUCUCUUUGCCCCUCAUUCUGUCUCUCUCUCUCAAAAAUAAAUCAACAUUUAAAAAAGAAAUAAAACAGGGGCACCUGGGUGGCUCAGUUGAUUAAGCGUCCAACUUAGGCUCAGGUCAUGGUCUCAUGGUUUGUGGGUUCGAGCCCCACAUCAGGCUCUGUGCUGACAGCUCAGAGCCUGGAGCCUGCUUCACAUUCUGUCUCCCUCUCUCUCUGCCCCUCCAUGGCUCACACUCUGUCUGUCUACCUCUCUCUCAAAAAUAAACGUUAAAAAAAAAAUUUUUUUUUAAGUAAAUAAAAUAACAUUAUAGCUACAAAUGUUGGCUGGUUUUAGGAACACAAGGUAGAAAUAAGUUACGUUCAGAAAGUAACAGUAUACAGCCACUGAACAGAUACUAAACUUUCUGUCUUUAAGGAAAUUAUUUUUCAAAAUUCUCAAAUAGUACAAAGAAGGAAAAAAAUGCCUUAAGGCGGGGAGGGUAACCAACCCGCAAAUUAUUUUAUACUAACACCUGUGAGAUUAAAUGCUAUCUAAUACUAGUCAAUAACUAGGAUGGAAAAUACAUAGCCUCCUCCUAGUUAGAGUAUACUAUAUUUAAUUUCAACAUCAGAAAAUACCUAAGUCUGAUGCAUAGAAACCUGCAAGCUGAAAUAGUAUGUUUCUAGCUAUAGUUCUGUAAAAACAUGAUUAAGUUGUAUUACUACCAUCAUAGUAAUACAAAAAUACAGCAAAACAAGAAUACUUAAUAGUUUGCUAUAAUUAAGUAUACGACACAGGUUUCUUAAAAAUAAAGAGCUAACACACUACAUACGCAGUAAAAGGCGGUAGAGUAAGGUCCACUGUGGGUCACAGCACAUAUGAACAGAAACAGAGAGCAGGCUCUCAGGGCCUCCAUAUCCUGCCAGUGUUCUUUAUACAGAUACAGUAAAACACCAGUACCACCCUAGAAUAUACAAACUCACUCUGAGUGGCUCCAAAUAUUACACAUAAAUUCAAAGCUAAUGCUUGCAAAACAAGAUACUGCCUAAGAUAUUGGUAGGUAAACAAUUGCAAUUGAAUGUAAAACAUAAAAUAUUGACCGAAGUUAAGAAUAUUCUGAAACAUGGUAACAAAAUGAUUUGAAAGGCUUAAAUCCAUAAUUAUUAUUUAAGCAAAAAACCUCUUCUUAUUAUACCAGAAAACAUACUAUAUGUUGACAAAAACAAAUCAGUCUCACCCACCGGCUCAAUCCUAUCCAACUAUAAAAAUUUUAUAGGACGGUAAGGCCAUCUCACCAUGGACUCAAGAGCAGACAUAAGGAACGUCACCACCAUCCUGCUCUCCGAGGACUCCUCAUCUUCGACGGGCAGGGUAGACAUUGCUACUUGGGCCAUGAUCCCUAGGAAAGCAGUAAGAAAGUGAGCGGCAGAAAUUCACAAUGUUCUUCUAAACAUACGUUCAGAGCCGGUGAGGGUCCCCCACAGAUGGCCUCAUUUACAGUUUUCUUGCCUGAGAGAAAACAUAAGGCUCAGAGACUGAGUAUUUGAUUUGUCAAAAACUCCUACCCUCUAAGAUAGAAAAUCUAUCCCCU